rnacentral:lncRNA from 1 species
UUCAUUCCGAUUACCUGUACUGACUCACUUUUCUUUGAUGGCAUUAGCUUGGAAGGAUCUCAGGGUUUCCCAUUCCUCUAAUUGUUGUUACUUCGGAUCUUUAUCCGCGUGGUACUUUUACAUUUUUCCCGCAUUUUACUGCUUUCCUAGCUGGAAGACCUCGAUAGGAGGCAACGUUUGAGCCCCUUGGUGGCAUUUUACUUUGAGAUACAUGUUUUGUGUUUUGUAUUCAUAUCCCUGCAGGUAGCGCGGUUCCUUCGUCAAGGACUGCCUUUUU